AUAGCAUGGUGGGGGCACUUCUGACGUAAUUCCUUGAGUCUUUCCCAUGCUUCAUGAAAUUGUUCGCUCUCUAAUUGGGAGAAACUAGUAAUGACUCGCCUAAGGCU